rnacentral:rRNA from 1 species
CCUACGGGUGGCAGCAGUGGGGAAUAUUGCGCAAUGGGCGAAAGCCUGACGCAGCGACGCCGCGUGAGGGAUGAAGGUCUUCGGAUCGUAAACCUCUGUCAGUAGGGAAGAACGUGCACUGUGUUAACCAGUAGUGAAUUGACGGUACCUGCAAAGGAAGCACCGGCUAACUCCGUGCCAGCAGCCGCGGUAAUACGGAGGGUGCGAGCGUUAAUCGGAAUUACUGGGCGUAAAGCGCUCGUAGGCGGUUUGUCAAGUCAAGGGUGAAAUCCCCGGGCUCAACGUGGGAAUUGCCUGUGAAACUGGAAAACUGGAGUGUGUGAGAGGAUAGUGGAAUUCCAGGUGUAGCGGUGAAAUCCGUAGAGAUCUGGAGGAACAUCAGUGGCGAAGGCGACUAUCUGGCACAUAACUGACGCUGAGGAGCGAAAGCGUGGGUAGCAAACAGGAUUAGAUACCCCAGUAGUC